UACGUAGGGUCCGAGCGUUGUCCGGAAUUACUGGGCGUAAAGAGCUCGUAGGUGGUUUGUCGCGUUGUUCGUGAAAACUCACAGCUCAACUGUGGGCGUGCGGGCGAUACGGGCAGACUGGAGUACUGCAGGGGAGACUGGAAUUCCUGGUGUAGCGGUGGAAUGCGCAGAUAUCAGGAGGAACACCGGUGGCGAAGGCGGAUCUCUGGGCCUUGCCUGACGCUGAGGCGCGAAAGCUAGGGGAGCGAACAGG
rnacentral:rRNA from 1 species